UCCAGGUUUCUCCAGUUCUGGAUUGAGAUCAGUUUUUAUCUGCGCGUGCGCAUUAAGUGUUUUGUGGUCAAGCGCAUGCGCAUUUGCAACACAACAAUGGCGGUUCACGGAUUUCGAAAUACGACGAAGCAUGAACUUUGGAGAGGUUGUACUUCAAUUUGUGCAACUAUUUCGCUUGGGGGAAGUGGAUUCUAACUAAGUAAGUUCUAAUCUAUCCAUUCAUGUAAAAAUUAUGUAGUUACACGAGGGGUGCUACGGAAUUGAACAUUUUCGACCCUCAUCCGACGGCCUAAAGUUGCAGCAAUUUUGUUGCUCGUAUUACUCGAGCUUUAAAGCUUGUUUUCCACUAGGCGGAAUUUUCCACGUGGAGCGGAAUUUCUCUUUGUCCUUUCACAACUACAUUGUUUUCAACUAAGCCACCUUAAAUCACGCAGAACAUUUUUAGCGAACGUUAAUGGAAAACGGCCUUAAGAGUGCAGUUAGUUAAUAAAAAAAUUCAGAUCAAUCAUAGGGUACCCCUGCAGAAAUUUCAAACCAAUUUUUGCUAACCCCCUAAGGAAUUCCACAUGUGUCAUUUAUGGGGUUACUCUGGGUGUCAGAAGUUUUCAGGUUCCCCUAGCUAGGAAACUUUCUGAAGGCUCUUGAACCCAGGGUAUUAUCAGCUACCUUGCAGAAAUUCCAAAAUCAAAAUUUGAAGACCAUUAGGAAUUCCACAUCAACUUUAAUAGUACCCCUGAAGAAUUCCACUCACAUUAAUAAUUGGGGUACCCUAAAGAAUCUCAAGCCUUUUCAUCCCUGAAAAAUUCCAAGUUCAAAAUGCUUUACCCUUAAAGAAUUCCAAGCUCAAAACACUGUACCCUGAAGAAUUCCAAACUCAAAACACUGUACCCCGGAAGAAUUCCAAACUCAAAAUCCUUUACCCCUGAAGAAUUCCAAGCUCAAAAUACUGUACCCCUGAAGAAUUCCAAGCUCAAAACACUGUACCCCUGAAGAAUUCCAAGCUCAAAAUCCUUUACCCCUUAAGAAUUCCAAACUCAAAACACUGUACCCCUUAAGAAUUCCAAACUCAAAACACUGUACCCCUGAAGAAUUCCAAACUCAAAAUCCUUUACCCCUGAAGAAUUCCAAACUCAAAAUCCUUUACCCCUGAAGAAUUCCAAGCUCAAAAUCCUUUACCCCUUAAGAAUUCCAAACUCAAAAUCCUUUACCCCUGAAGAAUUCCAAGCUCAAAACACUUUACCCCUGAAGAAUUCCAAGCUCAAGACACUCUACCCCUGAAGAAUUCCAGGUAUCCUCGACAGGGGGGGUACGGAUAUUAAAUGGAAUAGCCCAUUAUAGUUGUGUCAUGGAUUUAAUAAUACCCCAAUGGCUUCGAAAUAGACAAUGGAUGGAAAAAGUCAUGAAUAUUGAACUUAUUUACCCUUUAAACACUUGAUCGUCAUGCGCAUACAGUGUAUUGUUUGUUUCCAGAACCC